UCUGCCUCUCAAUGGCAGCCCAAUUACCCACAGCUGAACAAGAACACAGAGGCUGAAACCCUGAAGUAAACUAAUCUUUCUGGCUAGAUGAAAUGGGAGAGGGACCUCCAGGAGACAGAGCAUACAGAGGAAUUGCAAAGAAGGAGAUUUAAAGAAGUUUGUCCACUAAUUCUGUAUAACACACCAGGGUUCAAGAUGACAUCCGUAGUAUCAUAUAAAGAGUUCAGCUAUAGGUGCUGUCUUGGAAAGGAGAUUCUCUGGAGGUCAAGCUUUGGAUAAUCUCAAAGGAAAACACCUCCCAAACAUUUGCGUUCCCUCUGUAAAUCUUGAAAAUCCUGAAUCCGGAUUGUUUCAUCUGGCAUAAACCUUCAGGUUUGCAAAGUAAGGAGAGAGGUCCGCAGACAGGAGCAGAAAGAGCGUGGCUCAGAGGAAACGCAUGAGGUAUGGCAGCUGUACCGAAGUCACUAAACCAGAGUCAGCGGGAAUGGGGGUGACGCCAUGUGACCUCUGGGACUCCCGGCAGUCUUUUACACUUAAUGGACCACGCCAUGAAUUAAUUUGGUCAGUCAUUCAGUCACUCAUUCAUUCAACAAAUACUUGUUAAACUUACCUUCUAGGGGGUGGAGGGAAGUGUAUUAAUGAGCAUUUUGGAAAAUGACAGAUGUUUCAGAAAGAUCCAAGGGGAAGAAUAAGGAGUGUAAAGACCUGCAGAGGUCACUUUCUUGUGCUGUGAUCCUUUCCCGCCGUCCCCCAAAUGUCCUUCUGCCUCCCACCCUCAUGUCUUUUUCACAUGCUAUUUUCCCUGCCUCAGAUGCCUUUUCUGUCCUCUGCUUAGAAAACCCAUAAUUAUGCUUUAAGAUCCAACAGAAAUACAUGCCCCGUGAGGUGCUCUCAUUGCUCAACUGCUUGAAAAGAAAGCAACUUGAGGAAUUAGUGUGCUUUAUCUAGUGAUUUUUGCCAUAUUUUGUGAAUGUACUUUAAACAAUGUUUUUCAUAUUACCAGUUUCAUUUAUUUUCCCUUCUCUUACCCUAUAUUAGUUUAUGAGCUACUUGAAGGGAGGAAUUAUGUGUACAUAUUUGUUAGCAUAGGUCAGGGGUUGGCAAAACUUCUCCAUGAAUUGUAAUCAGAGAUACUUCCUGAGUACAGAUAGUUUAGGCUUUGUAGGCAUUAACCAUCUUUGCUGCAACUACUAAACUCUGCCGCUGAAGCAGGAAGACAGCAAUAGGCAAUUUGUAAAUGAAUGGAAUGGCCAUGUUCCAGCAGAAGCUUAUUUAACAAAACAAGGCAGAGGCCAGAUUUGGCCCAUGG